rnacentral:tRNA from 1 species
GUCCCUAUUACGUAAUUGGUUAACGUGUCUGGCUCAACACCAGAAUUAUGUAGGUUCGAAUCCUACUGGGGGCA